rnacentral:rRNA from 1 species
GACGAACGCUGGCGGCGUGCCUAAUACAUGCCAGUAGAACGCACAGUUUAUACCGUAGCUUGCUACACCAUAGACUGUGAGUUGCGAACGGGUGAGUAACGCGUAGGUAACCUGCCUGGUAGCGGGGGAUAACUAUUGGAAACGAUAGCUAAUACCGCAUAUUAUUGAUUAUUGCAUGAUAAUUGAUUGAAAGCUGCUAUUGCAUCACUACCAGAUGGACCUGCGUUGUAUUAGCUAGUAGGUGAGUUAACGGCUCACCUAGGCGACGAUACAUAGCCGACCUGGGAGGGUGAUCGGCCACACUGGGACUGAGACACGGCCCAGACUCCUACGGGAGGCAGCAGUAGGGAAUCUUCGGCAAUGGACGAAAGUCUGACCGAGCAACGCCGCGUGAGUGAAGAAGGUUUUCGGAUCGUAAAGCUCUGUUGUAAGAGAAGAACGGGUGUGAGAGUGGAAAGUUCACACUGUGACGGUAUCUUACCAGAAAGGGACGGCUAACUACGUG